AUUGAACGCUGGCGGCAGGCCUAACACAUGCAAGUCGCACGAGUGGCGGACGGGUGAGUAAUGACUGGGAAACUGCCUGAUGGAGGGGGAUGACUACUGGAAACGGUAGCUAAUACCGCAUACCCUCGGAUGUGCCCAGAUGGGAUUAGCGAGUAGGUGGGGUAAAGGCUCACCUAGGCGACGAUCCAUAGAUGGGCUGUGAGGAUGACCAGCCACACUGGAACUGAGACACGGGCCAGACUCCUGCGGUAGGCAGCAGUGGGGAAUAUUGCACAAUGGGCGCAAGCCUGAUGCAGCCCUGCCGAGUGUAUGAAGGAGGCCUUCGGGUUGUAUAGUACUUUCAGCGGGGAGGCGUUACCCGCAGAAGAAGCACCGGCUAACUCCGCGCAAGCCGCCGCGGUAAUAC
rnacentral:rRNA from 1 species